rnacentral:rRNA from 1 species
AUUGAACGCUGGCGGCAUGCCUUACACAUGCAAGUCGAACGGCAGCACGGGAGCAAUCCUGGUGGCGAGUGGCGAACGGGUGAGUAAUACAUCGGAACGUGCCCAAUCGUGGGGGAUAACGCAGCGAAAGCUGUGCUAAUACCGUAUACGAUCUACGGAUGAAAGCAGGGGAUCGCAAGACCUUGCGCGAAUGGAGCGGCCGAUGGCAGAUUAGGUAGUUGGUGAGGUAAAGGCUCACCAAGCCGUCGAUCUGUAGCUGGUCUGAGAGGACGACCAGCCACACUGGGACUGAGACACGGCCCAGACUCCUACGGGAGGCAGCAGUGGGGAAUUUUGGACAAUGGGCGAAAGCCUGAUCCAGCCAUGCCGCGCGUACGAUGAAUGCCUUCGGGUUGUAAACUGCUCUUGUACGGAACGAAACGGCCUUUUCUAUUAAAGAGGGCUAAUGACGGCACCGUUAGAAUUAGCACCUGCUAACUACUGU